rnacentral:rRNA from 1 species
UUCUGUCACCAUACCACCCUCAUGGCUCCAGAUCUCAUCUCAGAAUCUAAGCAAGGUCAGGCCUGGUUAUUACUUGCAUGGUUUUCUUUUCUUAAAAGUCUCCUCCUGGCAGGCAGUGGUAGCAC